GCUGUUUUCUGACAAUCAGAAAUCUGUCAAAUCUUCUCCAAAGUCCAGGAAAUGGCAUUUCAGAGACUCUAAAUUUAAAAAUUUCCUCGGGCCUUCGGCCCUCGCUUUCAGCCCCCCCCCCCCCCCCCCCCCCCCCCCCCAAGUUUUGCACUUCCUCAGAAAGCCCUCUCCCAGGGAAAUUUAAGCGCUCAUUGGAUUAAAUGACAGUAGUAUAUGAUUGAAAUAAGGAUUUUGAAAAAAAGUAAUACUAUAAAACAGGGAUGGCGCAAUCCCAUUGCUCAUUAAUACGGAAAAUGAGCAAUUUCUAUAUUGCUAUAUAUAGACAAUAGCAACCCCCCAUUACUAACGGACCAAAUUAUGUACGUGGAACAUGUCACUAUUUCUCCAAACUUUGCAAAAAUGGCAUACAUAUAAAACUUAACAAAUUAGUUUGUACCAAACUACGUUAGAAAUGUUAUCGGUUGUCUUGAGGCUUUAUUUUGAACAGAGCAGAACUCCAUUCCAGUUUUAUUUCCAAGAGGCAAGAUCAGUGAGAUUACCACUCGGUCUGGGGUAUUGCAAGGUCUCCGGCCCGGCGAGGAUAUAGAUUGCAUUAUCAUUGUGAUUGACAGAAAAGUGUAUGUAUAUUUUUUAAAACCACGUAUAACUUGUGCAUGUGCACAAUCAUGCAAUUAUACUGAUUAUUAUUAUCAUGCAAGUAUAAUGAUUCCCAUGCAACCGUAUUUAUUUUAGAACAGAAAAUGUAUAUUCAAUUUCAACAAUUAUUUCUUUUUACGGAGCUCGUCAAUAUGUUCAAUUGUUGGUAAACCACGAGGUAGAUUCAGUAAGCUUCCUUCUUUUAUCAUAAUAUUUUCUGCUUCAGCUGUAAGAACAAGAGUAUAACAUCGGGACAUUAAUAUAUAGUGUUGGGCUGCAAAAUUGAAAUAUUAGUUUUGAUAACUUCACCCUACAGCAGAUGAAAUUACGAGCUUCAGGUAUCUCCUUAAAGUUCCUUGCAAUAGAAAGACAAAAUAUUAUAUUAAGAGAUUUUUUUCUUCAUGAAAUUGAGUUGUUUACUAUUUUUAGGUUGGUUCUACCAUAUAAUGUCCAAAUUAUGUUUCGGGACCAUGCCAUAAAGUGUACUAUAUACGUCGAGCCUAAACGUAUAUUUGCCAGCAGGCUUCUGAGCUCAUUGCACGUCGUACCCAGCAGUGCUUUAAAUUCCAUUAAAUUAACACGGCCAGAAUGGUCAAACAUAAAACCAUUUUCACCAGAUGCUCG